UACGAAGGGGGCUAGCGUUGCUCGGAAUCACUGGGCGUAAAGCGCACGUAGGCGGGUCUUUAAGUCAGGGGUGAAAUCCUGGAGCUCAACUCCAGAACUGCCUUUGAUACUGAGGAUCUCGAGUCCGGGAGAGGUGGGUGGAACUCCGAGUGUAGAGGUGAAAUUCGUAGAUAUUCGGAAGAACACCAGUGGCGAAGGCGGCUCACUGGCCCGGUACUGACGCUGAGGUGCGAAAGCGUGGGGAGCAAACAGG
rnacentral:rRNA from 1 species